CAAGUCUGGUCCGUCCAAAGCCAAGCGAGCAGGGCGGGAGCGAGUCUUGCGGGCGUCGCGGCGAAGCGGGGUCCGAAGCGUAGACAGCGGUCGAACGGGGUGUGAGAUUGACUCCCGAAAUAGGCAUGUUGCGGAGGCAGAGCUGGCGCCCGCACCGGCGAAAGCAGCACAUUCGGUCUCGCCAUGCGAGAGGCCGGAUGCUCCGUCGGGGGCUAAGGACA
rnacentral:ncRNA from 1 species